UACAGAGGGUGCAAGCGUUGUUCGGAAUUAUUGGGCGUAAAGCGCGUGUAGGCGGCAUGGCAAGUCGGGUGUGAAAGCCCUCAGCUUAACUGAGGAAGUGCGCCCGAAACUGCCGUGCUUGAGUGCCGGAGAGGGUGGCGGAAUUCCCCAAGUAGAGGUGAAAUUCGUAGAUAUGGGGAGGAACACCGGUGGCGAAGGCGGCCACCUGGACGGUAACUGACGCUGGGACGCGAAAGCGUGGGGAGCAAACAGG
rnacentral:rRNA from 1 species